CGAGGGGAUGUGAAUGAUCCAUUCCUUGAAGCUGAUCGGCGGGAAACAGCAAAACAAGAAGCUGCAGCUAAGCGGGUACAUCCAACUUUGAAUUUGCCUGCAAAUUCACAGCCUUCAACACAGGUUGCUGGGUUGUUUGCAACCUCAGCAGCUCCUGGAGCAUCAAUUGUUCCACAGACAUCUGCAGCAACGGCAUCAGCUUCCUCGGAGUGCAUUCUCUCUUUUCAGUCCACCUUCUACUGCAGCAUCUUCCUCUUUGUCAUCAUCCUCUUUAUUUGCAACACCAACAGCCUCUGCUCCA
rnacentral:misc_RNA from 1 species